rnacentral:rRNA from 1 species
AACUGUGGACCUCCGGGUCUAUUUAACAAACAUCAGUGUAAUGAACGUAUAUAUCAUUAAACAAAACAAAACUUUCAACAACGGAUCUCUUGGCUCUCGCAUCGAUGAAGAACGCAGCGAAAUGCGAUAAGUAAUGUGAAUUGCAGAAUUCAGUGAAUCAUCGAAUCUUUGAACGCACCUUGCGCCUUUUGGUAUUCCGAAAGGCAUGCCUGUUUGAGUGUCAUGAAAUCUCAAUCCCCCUGGGUUUAUGAUCUGGGUCGGACUUGGAUAUGGGCGUCUGCCGGUCACACGGCUCGCCUCAAAUGACUUAGUGGAUCUCUCUGCAUCCGUGACAGACGUAAUAAGUUUCGUCUUGUCCCUUGCUUAUGAGUCUGCUCAUAACCUGCCAUCGCGCACUUUUAGACUCUGACCUCAAAUCAGGUAGGACUACCCGCUGAACUUAAGCAUAUCAAUAAGCGGAGGA